GAGGAUCCAAGCGUUAUCCGGAUUUACUGGGCGUAAAGAGUUGCGUAGGUGGUCUGUUAAGUAAAUAGUGAAAUCUUGUGGCUCAACCAUAAGGCUAUUAUUUAAACUGGCAGACUCGAGAAUGAGAGAGGUCACUGGAAUUCCCUGUGUAGGAGUGAAAUCCGUAGAUAUAGGGAGGAACACCAAUGGCGUAGGCAGGUGACUGGCUCAUUUCUGACACUGAGGCACGAAAGCGUGGGGAGCGAACGGGAUUAGAUACCCCGGUAGUCCACGCCGUAAACGAUGGAUGCUAGCUGUUAGGAGUAUCGACCCUUCUAGUAGCGAAGCUAACGCGUUAAGCAUCCCGCCUGGGGAGUACGGUCGCAAGAUUAAAACUUAAAGGAAUUGACGGGGACCCGCACAAGUGGUGGAGCGUGUUCUUUAAUUCGAUGUUAAGCGAAGAACCUUACCAGGACUUGACAUCCUUGGAAUUUCUGGGAAACCAGAGAGUGCCUUUUGGAGCCAAGUGACAGGUGUUGCAUGGCCGUCGUCAGCUCGUGUCGUGAGAUGUUUGGUUAAGUCCAUUAACGAGCGCAACCCUUAUGAUUAGUUGGAUUUUUCUAAUCAGACUGCCUCGGCAACGGGGAGGAAGGAGGGGAUGAUGUCAGGUCAUUAUUACCCUUACGUCCUGGGCUAGAAACGCGCUACAAUGGCCGGUACAAAGGGCAGCCAACCCGCGAGGGGGAGCAAAUCCCAUCAAAACCGGUCCCAGUUCGGAUUGCAGGCUGAAACUCGCCUGCAUGAAGCCGGAAUCACUAGUAAUCGUAGGUCAGCACACUACGGUGAAUACGUUCCCGGGUCUUGUACACACCGCCCGUU
rnacentral:rRNA from 1 species